UUAAGGAUAUACUCAGCAAGGUGGAGAUAAAAGAGAAAGGGGAUUCGUGAGAUGUUGUGGAUUUGUGCUGAAGCUUGGAAAGAAAGAUCAAAGGCUUUGGAUAAAGAAUGUGCUUCAGAGUUAUUAAAAGAUAAAAAGAUAACUGAAUUGGAGGAAAAAAUUAAAACGCUUGAAUCAGACAGAGAAAAAGCGCAAGGAAUGUUAGAAAAAUCAGUUUCUUACAUUUCUCAGUUGGUACGAGAAAAAGGUAACAAAAAACCACGCCAAGCUCACCCGAAACAGGUCCGCUCUUUUACCAUGGAGUUGCCCGACUAGUUGGGAACCAGAAGGGUGGAGCGGAGACUUGUGGGGAGAUGGCGAUGGAGAAAUGACAUACGACGGCGAGAUGAAACCUCAGCAGUUUUAUCCAAAUUUGAACCAUGUAAAAAUACAACCUAUCACCCGCAGACGGGAAGAAAGGCAGGUUAUUCCUCCUAUUUAUCAGGAAGAAAGAGAUGGGAAUAAUGUGGUGGUAGUUGAUGGGGACGGAAACCCCGUCAUGCAAAUGAUAGAACAACCACAGCCACCGCCGCGAACAACCAUAACAAUGGAGGAUUUCUCACAAGAAGAAAUUGCUCACUUAACAGCAAAAUACAGACAGAAACAAGGAGAGCCCACCGACGCCUGGAUAAGGCGAAUGUAUGUGGAAGGGGCAGACUCUGUAGGGCUUGAUGCAGGGGAUUAUUUGCGCUUCGGUGGUCUUAACAAUGACUCGCGCUUGAACACUGAAUAUUGAGCAUUGGGCCGAGAAUGGCGAGACGCAGACCGAAUGACACUGUUUACCCUGUAUGCAAUGGCUGCGCAGGCGGUGUAUCCCACUUGGCAUGACUGGACUGAGGUCAAAGGCCAAUGGUCGACUAUGCGCGAUGCGAUACAUCGCAUGGGAAGAUUGUGCACCCGCGAGGCAAUUUCACGAGCAGGCCAUGCUUUUAUUGACGAUUCGCCCAUACCAUAAGUGGUGCGGGAUGCGAUGAUUAGAGAUGCUCCUUCUCAUUACAGAUCAGCAGUACUCACCAUCUUGCUAGGAGCAGCUGAAAACAGUUUCAGUGAUGUUAAAACGCGCCUAAUGGAAUUGGCGACUUUGGGAGACUGGGGAGACGCAACACGCUCUCCCCGACCUGAACCAAAGAAUUAUAGGUCAGAAAAAGAGGAGAAAAAGACAAACUCAAAGUCAUCUGAAGGGGGAGGGAACUGACGGGAAAUGUGGAGGGCACUGAUAGCAGCGGGAGUCCCGGCAGACGAAAUUGACGGGCUACCCACUAGUGCCCUAGCCGCGAAAUGUAAACAACGCGGAUUGAAAGUCAGUUGUUUGAGUAUGGGAACCAACAAAAAUGAAAGAAAAUCAGACAUUGCACAACUAGCGAUUCUCUUAAAAGAGAUGGUAUCGCCGGGAGUGCAACCAACAGCCCCUCCCCUUGAAACCUCCAGAGAGGAAGAGGAUGAAGAAGAAAGUACAGAUUCAUUAUGAAGACAUGCUGGUAGAUGUCAGAGGUCCCAGCUAUGUCGCAGCAGUAAAGAAGGGGCGAGCAAAGCCUAAAAACACGGGAAAGAAUAAGGACAGGAAAUCACAAACUUUUAAUCUCCUCAACUAGGAUGAAGGCCAAACUCAGUCAAUCAGCCACAGUCAAAUCAUCCACCGUUGGUCAGUAGGGGAUAACCGACCCCACGUCCAACUUGAAAUUUAUUGGAACAAUUCGGUACAAAAAGUGAUGGUACUGGUUCACACAGGAGCGGAGGCCUCAUUGAUUCAUGGAAACCCUGACAAAAUGAAGGGUGAAAUAAUUCCUUUAAGGGGAUUGGGAGGACAAGUGGUGAAAGGAAAAGCAGUUGUCCUCCCAUUGAAAAUCGGAAAGAUGCCGAUACAAAAAUUUGAGGUCGUUGUGACACCUAUCCCAGAGUGGAUAAUUGGAAUGAACAUUCUGGCUGGAAUGAGUUUGCAUUUGAAAAUGGGAAAAUUCCAAUUCGGAACAGUAACAGAAACCGAGAUACGAACAAUUUUGGUACGAAAGGUAAAAAUGACACCAUUUCCCAUACCUGAAGCCACAGAAACAGUCUCCCUUAAACAAUAUCGAAUUCCAGGGGGACAAGAAGAGAUCACUGCUACCAUCAAAGAAUAUUUGGAAGCAGGUGUGCUGAAGCCGGUGACCGCAAAGUGGAACAACCCCUUGUGGCCGGUAAGGAAAUCAGACAAUACAUGGCGAAUGACCGUUGAUUACCGAUGAUUGAACAAAAUGACACCAGCCUUGACUUCUGCUGUACCAGAUGCUGUCAGCAUCAUCGAAAGGGUGCCGCAUCACAGUGGAACUUGGUAUGGAGUGAUUGAUUUGGCUAACGCCUUCUUCACCAUACCGAUUCUCGAAGACAGAAUGGAGCAGUUUGCUUUCACGUGGGAAGGGAGACAGUAUACUUUUACUAGUCUACCUCAGGGGUAUUUGCACAGUCCGACCAUAUGCCACAGGAUUGUGGCUGAACACUUGGCGGAACUGCCGGUACCCAGACACUUGUUGGUGUCACAUUACAUCGAUGACAUCAUGGUGCAAGGAAACUCAGAGCAGGAAGUGAAAGAGUGGUUAAACAAAAUUGUGGAACACAUGAAAGAUCACGGGUGGGAAAUUAACCCGGCAAAAAUUCAAGGACCCGCCCAGACUGUCAAAUUUUUGGGCGUAAUCUGGAAUAAAGGUGAAAGAGAAAUCACCGAAAAAGCUAAAGAAAAAGUGGCGAACUUCCCAGUCCCACAUAACAAAAAGGAUGCCCAAAAAUACAUCGGCUUGUUUGGAUUUUGGAGACACCACAUUCCACAUUUGGGACAAAUCCUCCAGCCUUUGUACAAAUGCACUCGAAAGAAAGAAAUUUUUGAGUGGGGACCUGAACAACAGGCAUCCUUCGAAUUAGCUAAAGAGGCCAUUCAACAGGCCGCCUCUUUAGGAAAAAUGCAAUCGGGCCCUGUAGAAUUACAGGUGUCAGCCCUGAAUGACUAUGGUAAUUGGAGUCUGUGGCAAAUGCAGAACAGAACCAGAAAACCUUUGGGAUUCUAGUCCAGAAAAUUAACAGACGCCGGAGUGAGAUACACUCCCUUUGAAAAACAACUGCUUGCCUGUUAUUGGGCCUUGGUGGAGACUGAGGCACAGACGGUCGGUCAUGAAACAACCGAACGGACCUCCCAGGGCUGCGGAAAUUAUAGCCCAGGGAACUGACGCAACGGUCAGCGUCCUAUACCAAGGAGAAGAAAAAUGGGCGAAUGUACCCAUAAACAAAUGCUAUAUGCGAGAAAACUAAUCAUGUUUUUCUUGUCAUUUAGUGUUUAACUAAAUUUGUUACAGCUUGGAGAAUUGAUGCCUUGGUGGGAGUUGCUGAUCGGAAGACCUGCGGAAACCGAACGAUACCAUGGACCCUAUCGGGCGCCGCGGGACUGGAGGUGUCGCCGGCUGGGUCAUAUACCUCCUUGCCGCUGGUGCCAUGGUCCAGCCCUCCUGGGAGAUGACCGAGGGCCGAACCUGCAGGACAAGUCAAGAAGCUAGAUUUAUACAACUUGACGCCGAAUGCGACCCUAAUCAUCAGGGAUCAAACUGGACAAUAGUGGCAGAUGAAGACUUCAUCAUCGGAGACAGCGAACCUAUUGGGCACAAUACCCGUGGGUAUCCGGUGAGAGUGAUUCGUCGAAAGCUACCGCCAACCAUAACUUUGACACACUUGUCCCCCGUUUUGGAUACCUGCACACAACUUGCACAGGCAACAAUCGAAAC